rnacentral:lncRNA from 10 species
CCAGCUCACACUCUGUGGAGCUCAGAUGCACCAGUCUGAACUCCCUCGAGGCAGAGAGCCCUGGCCUCUGCACUUGCACACUGACUCACGCAGAGCCUGGGGCUGCCUGGGCCUGAUGGAGCUGGCAGGCAGGGACUGUCUUUUUCCUGGAGGACUUCCUGGUGGAGGCCUGCUGCAGUUGGAGGCCUGAAGCACAGCGGACAGCCCCAGGCGUGUGUGGCACACCCAACACCCCCAUCCUUCCCAUGAGCCAGGACAUGGCCCGGGGGGCCUCUCUCCGAGGGAAGUGUGCCACCAUCAGGACGUGGGGUUCAGGAAGCAGCCCAGGCUGAAUGGAGGAGAAUGGAGGCAGGAAGGCCAGGAAGAAGUUGAAGCUGCCUUCCCAGCGACAGCUCCAGACCCGGGGUCAACCACUUGUGCCAAGGAGCCUGAGAUCCCAGCCCAUGCCCAGCCAGUCAGAGGUAAGGAAACGGAGGUGGGCAGGAGGCCCGCUGGGGGCCUAGGCUGCCCCUGAACAUGAGGGAAUGAGCAGGUGGCGGGGUCUGGAGGGUCUCCGCCUCAGUUCUGUGGCCCCCAAGGCUCCAAGCUCCCCCCACCUCUGCAUGGUAGAUCUCUGUGAGGGGCAGGGUACAGAUCCCCACUGAGCGGGCACCCUGGGGCUCCCACGUGGAGGAGCACAGGGUCCCACACUGCAGACAGCUGGCCAGGCCGGAGUUCAGCUCCUCCAAGGUCAGGAGUCGGGAAAGUUGAGAGUGCAGAGGGAAGUGACGGUAGAUGGGGUAGACAGG